rnacentral:pre_miRNA from 1 species
AUCACCUAGGGAUCUUGUUAAAAUGCAGAUUUGGAUUCCGUUGUUCUGGGCGGGUCUCAAGAUUCUUGCUUUUUAACAAGCUCCCAGGUGAUGUGGA